AGUGAACGCUGGCGGUAGGCCUAACACAUGCAAGUCGAACGGCAGCACAGUAAGAGCUUGCUCUUACGGGUGGCGAGUGGCGGACGGGUGAGGAAUACAUCGGAAUCUACUUUUUCGUGGGGGAUAACGUAGGGAAACUUACGCUAAUACCGCAUACGACCUACGGGUGAAAGCAGGGGAUCUUCGGACCUUGCGCGAAUGAAUGAGCCGAUGUCGGAUUAGCUAGUUGGCGGGGUAAAGGCCCACCAAGGCGACGAUCCGUAGCUGGUCUGAGAGGAUGAUCAGCCACACGGGAACUGAGACACGGUCCAGACUCCUACGGGAGGGAGCAGUGGGGAAUAUUGGACAAUGGGCGCAAACCUUGUCCAGCCAUACCGCGUGGGUGGAGAAGGCCUUCGGGUUGUAAAGCCCUUUUGUUGGGAAAGAAAAGCAGCAGGUUAAUACCCCGCUGUUCUGACGGUACCCAAAGAAUAAGCACCGGCUAACUUCGUG
rnacentral:rRNA from 1 species